GGCUGUGCUCCAGAGCAUUCAUGGGGGUGUGGGGACUGGACACUUUGGGGUCACAAAAACCCUCCGCCGCCUCUGUCAGGGCUUUUACUGGGGGCAGCACAAGAGGGAUGUGGAGGACUUUUGCCGCCGAUGUGACAAAUGCACAGCGGCGGCAAAAGCCCUCUAGGCCGUACUCAUGCUCAGCAGGAGGUGGAGUUUUGGACAGCGGAGCGGCAUGCCAUGAGGACCUUGGGCGGGUGCUUGUCCCAGUCACGCUGGUGUUUGGCAGAGACGAUGGCCAGCUGCUGUCCAAGCAUUUUGUUGAAGGGAGUGGAAAGACCGCUGGGUGCUCAUGGCCAUUGACUAUUUCACAAAAUGGCCCGAAGCCAAUGCUCUGCCUGACCAGGAGGCAGAGACCAUUGUCAACAACCUUGACAGCGGGGAUGUUCAGCAGGUUUGGAGCUGCGGAGUCCAUCCACAGUGACCAAGGAAGAGUCUUGUGUGUUCAGAUUUUAUUAGACACAUGCACCGAAUACAACAGGUGUAGACCUCACAGUGAAAUGCUUCCUUUGAGCCCCCAACCAACAAUGCAGUUUAAAAAAAUACGGAUAAGAAUAAGAGAUAAAAGUAACAAGUAAUUAAAGAGCAACAGUAAAACAACAAUAGCAAGACUAUAUACAGGGGGUACCGGUACAGAGUCAAUGUGCGGAGGCACCGGUUAUUUGAGGUAAUAUGUACAUCUAGGUAGAGUUAUUGAAGUAACUAUGCAUAGAUGACAACAACAGAGAGUAGCGGCAGUGUAAAGAGGGGGAGGGGGGGAAUGCAAUAGUCCAUUUGAUUAGAUGUUCAGGAGUCUUAUGGCUUGGGGGUAGAAGCUGUUUAGAAGCCUCUUGAACCUAGACUUGGCGCUCCGGUACCGCUUGCCGUGCGAUAGCAGAGAGAACAGUCUAUGACUAGGGUGACUGGAGUCUUCUGACAAUUUUUAGGGCCUUCCUCGGACACCGCUUGGUAGAGGUCCUGGAUGGCAGGAAGCUUCGCCCCAGUGAUGUACUGGGCCGUACGCACUACCCUCUGUAUCGCCUUGCGGUCAGAGGCCGAGCAGUUGCCAUAACAGGCAGUGAUGCAACCAGUCAGGAUGCUCUCGAUGGUGCAGCUGUAGAACCUUUUGAGGAUCUGAGGACCCAUGCCAAAUCUUUUCUGUCUCCUGAGGGGGAAUAGGCUUUGUCGUGCCCUCUUCACGACUGUCUUGGUGUGUUUGGACCAUUCUAGUUUUCCUAGCCACCGUGCUUCUACACCUGCAUUGCUUGCUGUUUGGGGUUUUAGGCAGGGUUUCUGUACAGCACUUUGAGAUAUCAGCUGAUGUAAGAAGGGCUAUAUAAAUACAUUUGAUUUGAUUUAGUUUGUUGUUGAUGUGGACACCAAGGAACUUGAAGCUCUCAACAUGCUCCACUACAGCCCAGUCGAUGAGAAUAGGGGCGUGCAAGCUAAUAACGUUAGUAUUUUGGACAACCAAAGUCAAAAUGAUUGAUGAAAUCGAAGUGUGUCAGCUAUAUGGUGAUUUGCGACUCAUUACUUCCAUUUUACCGAUACUGCCAGUAGUAGUAGGCCAACCGAUAACACCAAGACUGAAUGAGUUUGAAGUGGAUGCGCUGCCGAGAACAGCUAGCAUGUCCAGCAAUGUACAUCGCCAGUGGCACACACACACUUCAUGCAGAUCAGCAGCUCUACAAUGAUGUGAUCGACUGUCUCCCAGGUGGGGGCUUUUCGUGGCAGCCAGACGAGACAAUAGAAGGAGGAUGUGGUGAGCAAAGUUACCAGGGGCAGAGCCAGAGGGGUGUCCGGGGUGACACAGACAUCUGACGUGCCACACCGACAUUUCAUUCGCUACUGGCAGGUUGAUGCUGAUUGACAUCUUAUUUCACCUCUUAUUGAAAGAAGCAUUUAUUUUGACGUUUGGCGGCGCAUUUUUGAAAUCGAGGACGAGGAAGAGAGAAUAUUAACGUUAGCUGCGAGAUACAGAAAAAUAAAAAGAACAUACAGAAGAGAGAAUAUUUCCACAGCUCCACAAGCUCUUUUUACGAUUGGCGAAAGCAUCAUAUUUGAAGGUCAAUUAAAAAUGAAAAGAAAUGGAGAGAUAGACUUAUUUUUAAAGAAGCACAAAGAGGCAGAUCAGUUGCAAACAGACCCCAGCCCUUGUCUCACCACCGGACUCCAGAGAAGCUCCCUACCUGAGGGUAGUCAGAGUCAGUGUGGUCAGACAUCACAAGGACCCAUUCUACCACCACCAGGUCAGAGCAUCUGUAACCGAUGUGAAAAGGCUAGUUAGUUAGCGGUGGUGCGCGCUAAUAGCGUUUCAAUUGGUGACGUCACUCGCUCUGCGACCUUAAGUACUUGUUCUCCUUGUGCUGCAAGGGCCGCGGCUUUUGUGGCGCGAUGUGUAACGGUGCUUCGUGGGUGUCAGUUGUUGAUGUGCGCAGAGGGUCCCUGGUUCAAGCCCAGGUUGGGGCGAGGAGAGGGAUGGACGCUAUACUGUUACACAUCUACCAGAUGUAUCAAGGGAUGACACAGAGACCUCUGAGCAAGACAGUGAGCCAGAGCUGCCAGGAGAUGUCAUCGACCCCCUUCCAACUGCAUCAAGCACCAGAUAUGCUGUUCCAAAAGGACCCAAUGACAUUUCAAGAUCCAGAGAAGAGGGUCCUGUACAGCCGUGUUUGAAAACAUUUCCCAGAACUCAGCAUGGUACUAGGAAAGGGGCUUUCAACAGCUCCUGGUUUAAGGACAAUUCAUGGCUUGAAAAUUCUGUAAGUCAAGAUUCAACAUAUUGUUUCGCCUGUAGACAUUUUUCUCUGCCCAAUACACCUGAUUCUGCCUUCACAUCACAGUCAGGUUUUUGUAACUGGAAAAGGGUGCUGUUUAAAGAUUCUGGGUUAAAGCUCCAUUCGAAGGCAGAGCAUCAUAUCAAUGCUAUGUAUGCUUGGAAUCAGCAUAAAAGGGCUAUUGACAGCAACUUAUCAAUGUUAGAUGUCAUAAAUGAGGACCGGAAAAAGGAGGAAAACUGUACUUACAUUAAAACAAUUACAGAUGUGCUCCUGUUAACUGCCACUCAAAAUACAGCGCAGAGAGGUUAUUGAGAGUCUGAUGACUCUCACAACAAGGGUCAUUUUUUUGACAAUCUUAGAAGGAAUAGCAAAGAAUGACCCUCUCAUAGAGAAAAGGAUGAAUGCAUAUGGCAAUGCUAAGUACACAAGCCACCAAAUCCAGAAUGAAGUUCUUGAGGGCUUAGCUGAGAUGGUACAUCGUGAAAUAAUAAGACAAGUAAAAGAAAUGGAAGUUUUUAGUGUAAUUGCAGAUGAAACCAAAGAUUGAAAGAACAAAUGUCUUUAGUUGUGAGGUACUAUUACAACGGAACCAUCCACGAAAGCUUUCUACACUUUCAGUCAGCUGAAAGCUUAGAUGCAGCAGGCCUCAAAAAUUAUAAUUGAUUGCCUUGAAAAACAUGGUCUGGACUACAGAAAUAAUCUUGUGGGGCAAGGCUAUGACGGUGCAUCCGUCAUGAGCGGAAAGCAUUCUGGUGUGUCUGCAUGGAUUAAAAACAGUGCAAGAUUUGCAUUUUAUGUGCACUGUAAUGCACAUUGUUUGAAUUUGGUUCUUGUCGAUGCUGUAAAAUCAGUGCCUGAGGCAGUUAACUUUUUUGCUCUCCGGCAGAAGCUUUAGAACUUUGUAUUUGGCUCGUACGUUCAUCUCAAGUGGCUUGCAGUUCAGAAAGAGCAGUAUCCACAGCAGCAGCCCAGGGAACUACAGAGAUUUACGGAUGUAAGGUGGGCAUGCAUGACGUAAUCUGAGGGACAGGCUUCCAGCAGUUCUGAGAGUGCUAUAGAAUAUCACACUUGAAAAUAGUGGUGAUAGAUCAGUGGAGGCAAGGGGACCUUCUUUCUCAGAUAGAUUUACAUUUCAUAGGGCUUUUGGUUACCUUCUGUCAAGUGCUUGGUGAUGCCAAAUGUCUUUCUGACAUGCUCCAAUCAAGCUCUUUUGACCAAGCAAGGGCUGUGGAUCUAGUAGGUGCCCUUACAGACACAUUACAGGACUACAGAAGUGAGGGUUACUUUGGAGAAGUAUGGAAAGAGGUUGAAGAGAUUGCAGAGCACUGCAAAAUAAGUGUACAAACAGUGUGUAAAAGACAGCCUAAAACAAGCUUAAGAUUUCACGACUCAUUGAUGAUGAGCACUGUAGGACAGAAAAAUUGUGACCAAAGUGAUGGUGAGAGCUUCCAAAGAGCUAUCUUUUAUCAGGUGCUUGACAGUCUCACAGCUGAGGUGCAGAGGCGUUUUCAAAGAAGAAUUGCAACAUAAUGCAAGGGGUCCAGUCUCUCAACCCAAAGAGUACAACAUUCUUCAAUGAGGAGACUCUGUUUGCCUUUGCUCAGACCUUUGAGUCAGAUUUAGAGGACCUCAAACAUGAGGUUCAUCAAACCAAGCGGCUUCUUGAUAGGACAGAGAAAAGUGGAAGGGACAGACCGUCUACUCUCUUUGACUUUUUUGUGUUUCUAGAACCUUAUAAAGAGGUCUUCCAUGAGCUAUUUCGACUUUGUAAGGUUUCUGUUGUUACAUCAGUCAGCAGUGCUUCUUGCGAGAGAAGCUUCUCAGCUUUAAUACUGAUUAAAACCCACCUUAGGACAACAAUGGUUGAUGACAGAUUAAGUCACCUUGGAAUUCUCAGUGUUGAGUCAAGGAGGGCACGCUCCCUCGACAUGGAUGAGUUUGUGAAACAUUUUGCCAGGACUCACCAGAAAUUACCUAGGAUAAUUUGGCACUUAGGCGGUCCCGCUGGUCAUGAUUAAAACCUGCACUGUGUACUAGCUAGUACACUGACAUUCUAAAAUGAUACAUCCAAAGGGUAUCAUGUCACACAGAUUUCAUUUGGUCUUGAUUAGGCCAAUUCCAAAACUUUCCUUUGCUAUUAGUUAGCAUAAUAUAUAUGAGCAUAAAUAUGAUACUGUAAGUUUAAUAUUGAUGGGCACCAAAAUAAUUUGUAUUUUUCCAAGUCCAUUUAUGCUUAAUACCUGGAAUGUCAAAUUGCAGUGUGUUUUAUUUGUAAAUGUACUUUUUUUGUAAAUAAACUAUGCAAUUUAUG
rnacentral:lncRNA from 1 species